rnacentral:rRNA from 1 species
UACAGAGGGGGCAAGCGUUGUUCGGAAUUACUGGGCGUAAAGGGCGCGUAGGCGGCCUGCUAAGUCGAACGUGAAAUCCCCGGGCUCAACCCGGGAACUGCGUCCGAGACUGGCGGGCUUGAAUCCGGGAGAGGGAUGCGGAAUUCCAGGUGUAGCGGUGAAAUGCGUAGAUAUCUGGAGGAACACCGGUGGCGAAGGCGGGUCUCUGGACAGUUCCUGACGCUGAGGGACGAAAGCUAGGGGAGCAAACGGG